GAACGCUGGCGGCAUGCCUAACACAUGCAAGUCGAACGGCAGCACAGCAGUAGCAAUACGUGUGGGUGGCGAGUGGCGGACGGGUGAGGAAUACGUCGGAAUCUGCCCAGUCGUGGGGAUAACUAGCCGAAAGGUUAGCUAAUACCGCAUACGACCGAGAGGUGAAAGCGGGGGACCGCAAGGCCUCACGCGAUUGGAUGAGCCGACGUCGGAUUAGCUAGUUGGCGGGUAAAGGCCCACCAAGGCGACGAUCCGUAGCUGGUCUGAGAGGAUGAUCAGCCACACUGGAACUGAGACACGGUCCAGACUCCUACGGGAGGCAGCAGUGGGGAAUAUUGGACAAUGGGCGCAAGCCUGAUCCAGCAAUGCCGCGUGUGUGAAGAAGGCCUUCGGGUUGUAAAGCACUUUUAUCAGGAACGAAAAGCGUUGGAUUAAUACUCUGACGUGCUGACGGUACCUGAGGAAUAAGCACCGGCUAACUUCGUG
rnacentral:rRNA from 1 species